rnacentral:rRNA from 1 species
AUUGAACGCUGGCGGCAGGCCUAACACAUGCAAGUCGAACGGUAACAGGAAACAGCUUGCUGUUUCGCUGACGAGUGGCGGACGGGUGAGUAAUGUCUGGGAAACUGCCUGAUGGAGGGGGAUAACUACUGGAAACGGUAGCUAAUACCGCAUAACGUCGCAAGACCAAAGAGGGGGACCCUCGGGCCUCUUGCCAUCGGAUGUGCCCAGAUGGGAUUAGCUUGUUGGUGGGGUAACGGCUCACCAAGGCGACGAUCCCUAGCUGGUCUGAGAGGAUGACCAGCCACACUGGAACUGAGACACGGUCCAGACUCCUACGGGAGGCAGCAGUGGGGAAUAUUGCACAAUGGGCGCAAGCCUGAUGCAGCCAUGCCGCGUGUAUGAAGAAGGCCUUCGGGUUGUAAAGUACUUUCAGCGGGGAGGAAGGGAGUAAAGUUAAUACCUUUGCUCAUUGACGUUACCCGCAGAAGAAGCACCGGCUAACUCCGUGCCAGCAGCCGCGGUAAUACGGAGGGUGCAAGCGUUAAUCGGAAUUACUGGGCGUAAAGCGCACGCAGGCGGUUUGUUAAGUCAGAUGUGAAAUCCCCGGGCUCAACCUGGGAACUGCAUCUGAUACUGGCAAGCUUGAGUCUCGUAGAGGGGGGGUAGAAUUCCAGGUGUAGCGGUGAAAUGCGUAGAGAUCUGGAGGAAUACCGGUGGCGAAGGCGGCCCCCUGGACGAAGACUGACGCUCAGGUGCGAAAGCGUGGGGAGCAAACAGGAUUAGAUACCCUGGUAGUCCACGCCGUAAACGAUGUCGACUUGGAGGUUGUGCCCUUGAGGCGUGGCUUCCGGAGCUAACGCGUUAAGUCGACCGCCUGGGGAGUACGGCCGCAAGGUUAAAACUCAAAUGAAUUGACGGGGACCCGCACAAGCGGUGGAGCAUGUGGUUUAAUUCGAUGCAACGCGAAGAACCUUACCUGGUCUUGACAUCCACGGAAGUUUUCAGAGAUGAGAAUGUGCCUUCGGGAACCGUGAGACAGGUGCUGCAUGGCUGUCGUCAGCUCGUGUUGUGAAAUGUUGGGUUAAGUCCCGCAACGAGCGCAACCCUUAUCCUUUGUUGCCAGCGGUCCGGCCGGGAACUCAAAGGAGACUGCCAGUGAUAAACUGGAGGAAGGUGGGGAUGACGUCAAGUCAUCAUGGCCCUUACGACCAGGGCUACACACGUGCUACAAUGGCGCAUACAAAGAGAAGCGACCUCGCGAGAGCAAGCGGACCUCAUAAAGUGCGUCGUAGUCCGGAUUGGAGUCUGCAACUCGACUCCAUGAAGUCGGAAUCGCUAGUAAUCGUGGAUCAGAAUGCCACGGUGAAUACGUUCCCGGGCCUUGUACACACCGCCCGUCACACCAUGGGAGUGGGUUGCAAAAGAAGUAGGUAGCUUAACCUUCGGGAGGGCGCUUACCACUUUGUGAUUCAUGACUGGGGUG